rnacentral:rRNA from 1 species
UACGGAGGGUGCAAGCGUUAUCCGGAUUCACUGGGUUUAAAGGGUGCGUAGGUGGGUUGAUAAGUCAGUGGUGAAAUCUCCGAGCUUAACUUGGAAACUGCCAUUGAUACUAUCAGUCUUGAAUAUUGUGGAGGUCAGCGGAAUAUGUCAUGUAGCGGUGAAAUGCUUAGAUAUGACAUAGAACACCAAUUGCGAAGGCAGCUGGCUACACAUAUAUUGACACUGAGGCACGAAAGCGUGGGGAUCAAACAGG